rnacentral:rRNA from 2 species
GGGUUGUGAGGUUAAGCGACUAAGCGUACACGGUGGAUGCCCUGGCAGUCAGAGGCGAUGAAGGGCGUGCUAAUCUGCGAUAAGCGCCGGUAAGGUGAUAUGAACCGUUAUAACCGGCGAUACCCGAAUGGGGAAACCCAGUGUGAUUCGUCACACUAUCAUUAACUGAAUCCAUAGGUUAAUGAGGCGAACCGGGGGAACUGAAACAUCUAAGUACCCCGAGGAAAAGAAAUCAACCGAGAUUCCCCCAGUAGCGGCGAGCGAACGGGGAGGAGCCCAGAGCCUGAAUCAGCAUGUGUGUUAGUGGAAGCGUCUGGAAAGGCGCGCGAUACAGGGUGACAGCCCCGUACACAAAAGCGCAUGUGCUGUGAGCUCGAUGAGUAGGGCGGGACACGUGGUAUCCUGUCUGAAUAUGGGGGGACCAUCCUCCAAGGCUAAAUACUCCUGACUGACCGAUAGUGAACCAGUACCGUGAGGGAAAGGCGAAAAGAACCCCGGCGAGGGGAGUGAAAAAGAACCUGAAACCGUGUACGUACAAGCAGUGGGAGCACAGGUUUACCUGUGUGACUGCGUACCUUUUGUAUAAUGGGUCAGCGACUUAUAUUCUGUAGCAAGGUUAACCGUAUAGGGGAGCCGGAGGGAAACCGAGUCUUAAUUGGGCGUUAAGUUGCAGGGUAUAGACCCGAAACCCGGUGAUCUAGCCAUGGGCAGGUUGAAGGUUGGGUAACACUAACUGGAGGACCGAACCGACUAAUGUUGAAAAAUUAGCGGAUGACCUGUGGCUGGGGGUGAAAGGCCAAUCAAACCGGGAGAUAGCUGGUUCUCCCCGAAAGCUAUUUAGGUAGCGCCUCGUGAAUUCAUCUCCGGGGGUAGAGCACUGUUUCGGCUAGGGGGCCAUCCCGGCUUACCAACCCGAUGCAAACUGCGAAUACCGGAGAAUGUUAUCACGGGAGACACACGGCGGGUGCUAACGUCCGUCGUGAAGAGGGAAACAACCCAGACCGCCAGCUAAGGUCCCAAAGUCAUGGUUAAGUGGGAAACGAUGUGGGAAGGCCCAGACAGCCAGGAUGUUGGCUUAGAAGCAGCCAUCAUUUAAAGAAAGCGUAAUAGCUCACUGGUCGAGUCGGCCUGCGCGGAAGAUGUAACGGGGCUAAACCAUGCACCGAAGCUGCGGCAGCGAACGUAUCACCCAAGACAACUUUACGGAGUUGACGAUUGACGGAGCGAAGCGACGUCAAAGCGUUCAUUAAAGUCGAGUUGGCUUAGGGAUACGUUCGUUGGGUAGGGGAGCGUUCUGUAAGCCUGUGAAGGUGUGUCGUGAGGCAUGCUGGAGGUAUCAGAAGUGCGAAUGCUGACAUAAGUAACGAUAAAGCGGGUGAAAAGCCCGCUCGCCGGAAGACCAAGGGUUCCUGUCCAACGUUAAUCGGGGCAGGGUGAGUCGACCCCUAAGGCGAGGCCGAAAGGCGUAGUCGAUGGGAAACGGGUUAAUAUUCCCGUACUUGGUGUUACUGCGAAGGGGGACGGAGAAGGCUAUGUUGGCCGGGCGACGGUUGUCCCGGUUUAAGCGUGUAGGUGUGUGUUCCAGGUAAAUCCGGUUCACUUUAACACUGAGGCGUGACGACGAGGCACUACGGUGCUGAAGCAACAAAUGCCCUGCUUCCAGGAAAAGCCUCUAAGCAUCAGGUAACACGAAAUCGUACCCCAAACCGACACAGGUGGUCAGGUAGAGAAUACCAAGGCGCUUGAGAGAACUCGGGUGAAGGAACUAGGCAAAAUGGUGCCGUAACUUCGGGAGAAGGCACGCUGACACGUAGGUGAAGUGAUUUACUCAUGGAGCUGAAGUCAGUCGAAGAUACCAGCUGGCUGCAACUGUUUAUUAAAAACACAGCACUGUGCAAACACGAAAGUGGACGUAUACGGUGUGACGCCUGCCCGGUGCCGGAAGGUUAAUUGAUGGGGUCAGCGCAAGCGAAGCUCCUGAUCGAAGCCCCGGUAAACGGCGGCCGUAACUAUAACGGUCCUAAGGUAGCGAAAUUCCUUGUCGGGUAAGUUCCGACCUGCACGAAUGGCGUAAUGAUGGCCAGGCUGUCUCCACCCGAGACUCAGUGAAAUUGAACUCGCUGUGAAGAUGCAGUGUACCCGCGGCAAGACGGAAAGACCCCGUGAACCUUUACUAUAGCUUGACACUGAACAUUGAGCCUUGAUGUGUAGGAUAGGUGGGAGGCUUUGAAGUGUGGACGCCAGUCUGCAUGGAGCCGACCUUGAAAUACCACCCUUUAAUGUUUGAUGUUCUAACGUGGACCCGUAAUCCGGGUUGCGGACAGUGUCUGGUGGGUAGUUUGACUGGGGCGGUCUCCUCCUAAAGAGUAACGGAGGAGCACGAAGGUUGGCUAAUCCUGGUCGGACAUCAGGAGGUUAGUGCAAUGGCAUAAGCCAGCUUGACUGCGAGCGUGACGGCGCGAGCAGGUGCGAAAGCAGGUCAUAGUGAUCCGGUGGUUCUGAAUGGAAGGGCCAUCGCUCAACGGAUAAAAGGUACUCCGGGGAUAACAGGCUGAUACCGCCCAAGAGUUCAUAUCGACGGCGGUGUUUGGCACCUCGAUGUCGGCUCAUCACAUCCUGGGGCUGAAGUAGGUCCCAAGGGUAUGGCUGUUCGCCAUUUAAAGUGGUACGCGAGCUGGGUUUAGAACGUCGUGAGACAGUUCGGUCCCUAUCUGCCGUGGGCGCUGGAGAACUGAGGGGGGCUGCUCCUAGUACGAGAGGACCGGAGUGGACGCAUCACUGGUGUUCGGGUUGUCAUGCCAAUGGCACUGCCCGGUAGCUAAAUGCGGAAGAGAUAAGUGCUGAAAGCAUCUAAGCACGAAACUUGCCCCGAGAUGAGUUCUCCCUGAGACUUAGAGUCUCCUGAAGGAACGUUGAAGACGACGACGUUGAUAGGCCGGGUGUGUAAGCGCAGCGAUGCGUUGAGCUAACCGGUACUAAUGAACCGUGAGGCUUAACCUUACAACGCCGAAG